CGGCCACACGUUGAAACACUGGCUCCCGUACGAUCACAGAAUUUAAGUAAUGUCAAGCAUGGCCAGUACCUAGAUGGGUGACCUUUUGGGAAUACCAGGUGCUGUAAG